GCGCAGCCAAUCAGCGGCCGGGGUUUGGCCCCCCAGGAAAAUGGCGGCGGCGGGAGCGGCCCCCAAGCUCCGGGUUUGCUUUAUGGACUUAUUUUAGUAACUCCGUCCUUAUCCAGCCCUUCAAAGCACCUUCUCACGGAGAACAGAACCCUGUCAGUUCUGGGAUUCUGUGAUCCUGUGAUGUUAGCAGUUCACACACCAGAAAAUCUCCAGGGACCUUCUGGCUGAGCAUUGUAUACAAACAGCCAUAAAUUACUGCAUUUACAUUUACAUCACUACGCUAUUACAUGAAGGCUCAGAUCAGGAGCAGCACCUUCUGUUUUCCUCUAUUUAUUUUUUUUUCCUGUGUGCUCAUUCCUGUUUUAAAGUCCCCCCCCCUAUUUACCUGCAGCACAGUCUAGACAGCUAAUGGAAUAAUAAGAGCCCAGCGGGUUUUUACAAGAACAUGGACAAAAAGAGCAUCAGAAAUAAAUAUAUGAGUAAGAAUUGGAAGGUCAAUGGCUGGGUACUGAGUGUGCCACAGGCAAGGGUGUCCCGGGAUUAUGAGGUAAUUCCCUGUCGAGCAUCCUGACCAAAACAAUCAGGCAUUGCUGGAUUCCUGUCACCCUCCACACAAGGCAUGAAAAAGCAACGGAGGAAUAAUCCUCUGGAAAACCCAGUUCUCGCAUUCCCCCUUCUCACAGCGGAGAGAAACAGGGACUAAUCGUCCCUGGUGCCGCUGCCUGUUCCUUUCCCUGCUGGUUGCUCAUCAGCCCCCUGGUUGCCCAUCAGUUUUUCCAGCCCGUGGAGGGUGUUGUCGCGUGGUCCUUCCUCCCGUCUUAUUCCCGGCUGUUGUUUCUGGAGCUGCCGGCACUACUGCUUGGCACGGCUCCCCCGGUGACUCCGAGCUGGUGGCAGGCAGGGCUCAGCCCUGCCCAGCGCUUUCCCAGGAAGGCCUGGCUUCCUCUCAGAGGAAAACCAGCUCAGCCCCCGGAGCGUGUCUGCCCGUCCAUCGGGGAGAAAAUAAAAAGUGAUUCAGCUGAUUUUUAUCUCCCCGCCGACGCCCCCGGUGAAGCAGCGGAGCUGGUGUGGUUUGAUUUGAAACACGGUCCUUGCUUACAGCAGGGAUUUUAUUUGAAUGUUGAUUGUUUGUCAUUCCCUUCUAUGUGUACGGCUGGGUAAAAAGCCCUUUUGUUUUGAAGCGUCCUGUGAACUGCAGCAGGAAGCUCAGGAACUCCUGGUGGACUGAAUGAAACACAGUCAAUGAUAAUAAAAUUAUAGAAGGUUGGAGCCAGGAGGAAACUAAGUAGAUGGUGUAGUUGGACUCCCACACUAAACCUGGACUUGGAUGUUUGCUGGCGUGUUCUUAAACCUCCAGGUUUAACACCUCCAGGGAGCUUCCAUAACAUUGUGAGAUGGAUCUUCUGAAUGUUCCACCUUUGUGACACUGAGAAGCUCUUGACUUACUUGGCAAAAUUGAGCAUGGAAGAAAUUUAAAUUGCUCUGAAGUGCCCUCCUCUAACUGAAAUAGGUUAGAACUAAACAUGUGUUGUUAGAACAGGAAGAUAUUUGGAAUUUGGAGUGACUUAGGGUUUUCUUUUCUGAGAUGUUUUCUGGUUUAUUUGGGAACUUUAAAUUGAUGACUUUAAUGGUGGAACGGGUGUAUUGGUUUUAUACUACAUUUAUACUACAUUCCUGGAGGAUAACUGAGGAUCAGGAAUCGAGUACAUCGUGAAAACAGUCAGGCAAUAGCAUGUGAUGGAAUCCUGGGUGACAACAUUACUCCUUACACAUUUCAGAAGUGGAUCCAGAGGGAGAAUUCAGGCCCAAAAUAAAGUCUUCCUUACCUGAGCUGAACAUUUUUCCCUCUCAGUUGAAAGUUAUUGUAUCAAAUUCAGUUGAGAUGCCAUGGAUAAGCCAUGAGUGGCUGGGAGAGGAAAUCCCAGUUUAUCUGACUCACCAUUUUUGUGCAAAUAUUAACUUUGGCUGGUACACAUUUCUCCUGAUAUCUCUUUUCCAGAUCUGAGUCUCAGAGUACAUUGUCUUGGCUAUAUUGAACUGUAGCCUUUGGUUACUUGAAUAACUUUCAUUUUUAACAGUUUUAUCUAUUUAUUGUAUCUGAAAGGUAAAGAAAAUGCAAUUUUCCCCAUGACUCUGCUUCUGGUGAUGCAGUAUUAAAUUCUGCACCAGUGGAAAACUUAGAUUUAAUGGUGGCAAAAAGCACAAUGCAGAGGAUUUAGUUUUCUUUGCUAAAAGUGGUGGAAAACCCUCGAAGAUGGCAAUCCCAACUUCCCAGGAUCUACCUGCACUUUUAUCCCCCACACUCUCACUGGUUUAUUUUGUCCUUGGAAGAAAAAACAUUGGUGGACGCUGGAGUUGACCUUUAAUUUUGAAAAAUGUUCAUAUUCUCUGUCAAAACACUCUUCGUGGUUGCUCCCACCAACCAGAUUGUUGUUUCUAUUCAGAAUUAUCACAGGUGAUGAAGAGAGAGGAAGUUAAUUCAAUUAAUUCAAUUAAAUUGAUUCAGAUGUCCAUGUGUUGCUUGUGCUUCGUUCAUACAAACCAGGGGGGUCAACAUAGAGGAAAAGAGGAAUGCAGAGCUGGAAUCCACACUCACAGCUGUGGCUUGGGGAUGCUCAAAAUAGCCAAUAUGUUCUUCCCCUGUUCUGUAAUUCCUUUACAGAAUGGGUAAAAUAAACUGUUGAUAAGGAACUGUUGCUCCGAGCCAGGCUGGAAAGGAACUGGGAAAGGCUCCAUGAGCAGCAUUAAGUGAGCAAGGCAGAAUUUCCAGGGCAUCAUCUGGUAGCUCUGCCUUGUUUUGCUGCUUUGCUUAACAUUGCCAUGUUUUGUUUUGUUUAAUUUUGGGUCCUUAUUUCAUCUUAUUUUUUGACUUCUGGACUGUUGCAACUUCCCCAAGUAAGUCCCUUUGCACUUAUCUUAUCUGGGCUUCCUAAUUUCCACUAUUAGGUGAUGUCUGACACCUUCUUUGCUCAGAGCUGGCUGUCUGGACACAAACCCUGAGGUCUUGGACACUCAACUUCCUCUUCACUUUCUGGUCUCCAGCAUCUCAGAAAAGCCAAGAGAUCUGCCCUGGGCCGAGGUGCUGGAUUAAACCUGGGAUUAAAGCCUGAGAUUGCUCAACAGUAGCUUUGAUACACCCAGAGCUGGUCCCAUCCACAGCCUGGGGCUUGGAACUGCAUUCCAAUGGGUAUCCCUAAUUCCCCCAGUGCAGAGAACAAUCCUGUGCAGUCAGUCUGCUUCCUUUGCACUGUGACUGCUGGCUGAUGACCAGUGUUCACCAACCCCACGGACUCACUUGCAAGUGUGAUGCUCGGCUAAAUAAAAUUGUUUCCAAGAAGGCCAUCAUCAUUAAUCUUUAAUUAAUGCCUGGUGUUCAGUGGAAGAUAUGAUUGCCCAUGGCUGGAAUUGCGGUGGGAAUAAGGCAGGUGCCUCAGACUGGGCUGGAAUAGCCUGUGGUGCAGAGGAGAGCUGGGCUGCCCCCAUUCCAUCCCUGCCAAGUGAUCCAAGUGGCUCAGCAGUGGCAGAAUUUGGCAGGUUUCCCUGCCCCAAGGAGUUUGCAAUUUGAAGGAGUGCUGCUUUCUUCAUCCUGCUCUUAGAGCUGUUCCCAUGUCGGUCAGUGGGAUGAAUUCCCAUCUUCCUUUUGUUGACGUGUAAAUGGAGUUUGUCAGGACUUUGCCCAACCUGCACGAGGAAAGUUUCCUUUGACAGAGCCUGCCAGGUCACAGGGGUGUGCUCAGGGCUCUGCUCUCCCACCUUUCACCCCUGGAAUGUGCUGCAAGGAUAGUUUGGGGGGCUGAGUUGGAGAGAAAAGGGGGCCUGACAAAGGCCAGCACUAAAAUCAUAAGGCACAAAGAGCUGCUGUGAGUCCUUGCUGGUGGAUUUAUGUUUGAUUUGAAGAAGCACCUGGUAUGGGAGUAACAAAUCCCAGGUUCCUCACUGAGUCUUGCAGAGGGAACAAUUAAAAUAUAAUUUGUUUAUUAUGAGAAGGACAAUUAAGAAUGAAUUGAUGGAUGA